rnacentral:lncRNA from 1 species
GCCCUGCUCCACUCCAGCCGUGUCCUCUAGGGGAUCGCUGCCACCUUUUACCUAGGCCUCCCCACCAUGGCCUCUGCCAGAGCCAGCUCCUUGUGGGCCCAUGUGGAAAUGAGACCUCCAGAUCCCAUCCUGGGAACCACCAAAGCCUUUAAGAGGGAAAUCAACAGCAAAAAGAUGAAUCUGGGAGUUGGUGCCUACCGGGACAAUAAGAGACCCCAUUUGGGGACAAGCUGAAUUUUCCAAGGCAUCUGCAGAACCAGCCUUGGGUGAGAAGAGCAAAGUGUUGAAAAGUGGCCAGUCUGUCACUGUGUGGAUCAUUUCUGGAACUGGGGUUUAAGGGUUGGAGCCAGUUUUGUGCAAAGAUUUUUAAAGUUUUUGAAGACAGAGAUGUCUCUGUCCAAACCACCCUGGGGAAAUCACACACCUAUCUUCAGGGUAGCUGGCAUGCAACUACAAGAUUAUCAAUUCUAUAACCCCAAGACUUGCAGUUUUGACUUCACGGGUGCUAUGGAGGACAUUUCAAAAAUACCAGAGCAAAGUGCUCUUCUCCUGCAUGCCUGGGACCCUCAUGCAAAGCAGUGAAAGGAAAUAAUAAUAGUGGCAAAGAAAAAGAAACUGCGUUCUUUGAUAUGGCCUACCAAGGCUUUGCCAGUGGUGAUGGUAACAAGGAUGCCUGGGCUGUGUGCAACUUCAUUGAACAGAGCAUUAAUGUUUGUCUCUGUCAAUCAUGUGCCAAGAACAUGGGCUUUAUAUGGUCAGUGUAUGAGAGCCUUCACUGUGAUCUGCAAAGACAGUGAAUGAAACCAAAAGAGGGGAGUCAGUUGAAGAUCCUGAUCCAUCCCAUGUAUUCCAACCCUUCUCUCAGUGGGGCCUGUAUUGCCUCUACCAUUCUGAACAGCCUGGGUUUGUGAAAAUAAUGGUUGCAAGAAGUGAAAAUCAUGGCCAACUGCAUUACUAGCAUGCAGACUCAGCUGAUCUCCAACUGCAGUAAGGAGAGUUCCUCACACAUCUGACAACACAUGACUGACUAAAUUGGCAUGCUUUGUUUCACAAGGCUAAAGCCUGAACAGGUGGAGAAGCUAACCAAGGGGUUUUCCAUCUGUAUGACAAAGGAUGACUGCAUCCCUGUGGCAGGGAUCACCUCCAGCAACACGGGUAAUCUUGCCUAUGCCAUUCACCAGGUCACCAAG